rnacentral:rRNA from 1 species
GUAGGUGCGAGCGUUAAUCGGAAUUACUGGGCGUAAAGCGUGCGCAGGCGGUUAUGUAAGACAGAUGUGAAAUCCCCGGGCUCAACCUGGGAACUGCAUUUGUGACUGCAUGGCUAGAGUACGGUAGAGGGGGAUGGAAUUCCGCGUGUAGCAGUGAAAUGCGUAGAUAUGCGGAGGAACACCGAUGGCGAAGGCAAUCCCCUGGACCUGUACUGACGCUCAUGCACGAAAGCGUGGGGAGCAAACAGGAUUAGAUACCCUGGUAGUCCCACGCCCCUAAACGAUGUCAACUGGUUGUUGGGAAUUAGUUUUCUCAGUAACGAAGCUAACGCGUGAAGUUGACCCGCCUGGGAGUACGGCCGCAAGGUUG